rnacentral:rRNA from 1 species
GAUGAACGCUGUCGGCGUGCCUAAUACAUGCAAGUCGAGCGAAGCGGGGACGGGUGAGUAACACGUGGAUAACCUCCUAUAAGACUGGGAUAACUUCGGGAAACCGGAUCUACACCGGAUACUUAUAUAUGGAUCCGCGCUGCAUUAGCUAGUUGGUAAGGUAACGGCUUACAAAGGCAACGAUGCAUAGCCGACCUGAGAGGAUGAUCAGCCACACUGGAACUGAGAAACGGUCCAGACUCCUACGGACGGACGCAGUAGGAAAUCGUCCGCAAUGGGCGAAAGCCUGACGGAGCAACGCCGCGUGAGUGAUGAAGGUCUUCGGAUCGUAAAACUCUGUUAUAAGGGAAGCGGUACCUAAUCAGAAAGCCACGGCUAACUACGUGCCAGCAGCCGCGGUAAUUC